AAAUAAACCACCUUACAACAGCGCCUGCCUCUCGAGUGUUGGCUUUCGUAGUGGCAGGCAGUUGGACCUGCCUUUGGUUACAUUUCUUUGCAAAAUUAUUUUAGCUAUUCUGGUUUUUGCUAUUUUAUGUAAACCUUACAAUAAUCUUGUCUCUAUCUAAAAAAACUUGCUGAGAUUUUGGUAGGAACUAUGUUAACCUGUAUAUUAUUAGUUUGGAGAGAACUGACAUUUUUAUGGUGUUGAGUCUUUCAAUCCAUGAGUAUGCUAUGUCUCUUCAUUUACUUAAAUUCUUCUUGUUUUUAUCAAUAUUUAAGCAUGUCGUUUUGCUGAGAGUCGCAGAACCUACGGAUGACAGUAUGUGAUGACUGAUGGUAAAUGUGCAGCAGAUUCAGAGCAGAGGAGACCCACAGUGACCCGGCCAGAGGUGGCCCUGAGACUGACCUCUGGGAAUGAGUGGACCUUCGGUACACAGGAGAGAAAGUUGGAGAGAGAAGCGGAGAAAUCCAAAGGACCUGAAACUCCAGUUUCCAAUAAGGACGACGCUAAGUCAGUCAUCAGCAGGACGCAGCUAGCUUUUGCUUGUGGAGCUGGAUUAUCUCCGCUCUGCGGAUUAUCUCAUGCAAAGGCUUCCUCCCGGGCUUCCUCCUCUCCCCAUCCGGGUGGGCGUUCCUGUUCCUUUUCCUGCUGUCCUGUUCAAACCGCCAUCACUGUUAGCUAAGGAAAAACAUAAUUAAGGAGGGCAAUCUGUUGUCCCUAAAUAGUAUCAUCUAUUCCAAACUAAAUAUGAGUGACAUUUGCAUUAUCUUUUGUUUAUAGCUGUCCAUACCACUUCUCCUCUCCUGAGGGUGAAUACGGCUCACCCGUGUGAGCAUCGCAGACACAUCACCUAUUUAAGCUGCCUCUCUGAAGGUUAGCUGCAGUCCUGGGAGCCAGGAGUAAGGCCACAGGGAUCAUGGCCCCAUGACAUCUGAUUCAUUGGACCGUUCCCGAUUUUCCUGUGUUUACAGUAACGUAAAGUAAUAAUGUGAUGGUGGUCUCAUCUGCAACAUUAGUCCUGGCACAUUACCCACGGGUCGGUCUGGGAUUGUCUUUCUACGGGGUUGGUGGAGAGAUGUGUGGAUCUGGGACCUCUGUCCCACUCUGUCCCGCUGGUGGCCAGAGGCUCGUCUUUGAGGCAGACAGCCGGGGUGCAGGGUAGAAUCUGAGGCCACCAGGAGGAGUGAAAUGAACUGCCCCCUUCACGUGGGGAUGGGACCGCUGGCCCAUACCUCACUAGCAUGGCACUCCAACCCUCCAAUGCAGUGAUCCCCGGCCUCGGUUUCAUAUCACCCCAGGGUGUUCCCACGUAUCUCCAGAGGGAGCUGCGGAACUCCCCCUACAGCAUUAACUUUAGUUCAUUUUAAUUUAAACGUUCAAUAGGGGCUAUGCAGGCAGUCCUUUGUGGGAGUGGAAGUCAAAAAAUCUAGCUCUCCACAGUGUACGGCUCCCUAAACCCAUGGAAACGACCUCCUGACCCACUGAGCCCAACAGCAUGGGGAGGAAGGAGCCUGCACGUAAGCAGCAGGUGCGGACCGUGUCUAGAUGACAUGGAGAGCUGCCUGGCCCUGCUGGACACCCGCAUCUCACGGGUACUGUUUUCCUGUGGUUGGCUGCGGGCACACUUGGACUGGCUGGGCCUGAUGGGCACAGUCGGCUCCAGUCCAGCCAGCCCCUCCCUCUUCCUUCCUAGAGACUGGGACGCUUUGCUCAGGAACAAUUUGUGAUUGGUAAAGAUAAUGAAUCAGGCCUCGUGGCUGGGGCUUUUUCCUGGGUCAGUACACAAGGUCUGUCUCAUCUGUGGAGGCUCGGGGAGCACGCGGUUCAGGGGUCCCAGGGCACUUCGGCCACUGGCUUCUCUGGGGGGCGAGCGGGGUCUCAGCAGGAUCUUGGCAGGGCGGCCGCUGGCCUGCGUGCAACACUGGGGAAGGGAGAGCAGAAAUCAGUUAGUUGAUGAGCACCCUCCAAACCUGGCAUUGUGGUUGACUGCUCGGGGCUCUGCACGAUCAUUCAAGGAAAAUAAGUAUAGUUUCUCACACUGACUGUGCUUGAUAAUUAAAAAAGACUUUCACAUCC